GGGGAUUUGGCUCAGUGGUAGAGCACUUGCCUAGCAAGCGCAAGGCCCUGGGUUCAGUCCUCA
rfam:Rattus norvegicus chromosome 4, whole genome shotgun sequence.